rnacentral:rRNA from 1 species
GACGAACGCUGGCGGCGUGCUUAACACAUGCAAGUGGAGCGACGGACCAGGGCUUGCCCUGGGGCAGAGCCGCGAACGGGUGAGUAACACGUGGGUAACGUGCCCCGAUGAUCGGGACAACCCGGGGAAACCCGGGCUAAUACCGAAUGUGCUCCCCUCACACCAGUGAGGGAUGGAAAGGAAGCUUCGGCCUCCGCAUCGGGAUCGGCCCGCGGCCCAUUAGCUUGUUGGUGAGGUAACGGCUCACCAAGGCUGCGAUGGGUAGCUGGUCUGAGAGGACGAUCAGCCACACUGGGACUGAGACACGGCCCAGACUCCUACGGGAGGCAGCAGUGGGGAAUCUUGCGCAAUGCGCGAAAGCGUGACGCAGCAACGCCGCGUGGGGAAGACGGCCUGGU